rnacentral:rRNA from 1 species
GACGAACGCUGGCAGCGUGCCUAAUACAUGCAAGUAGAACGCUGAAGAGAGGAGCUUGCUCUUCUUGGAUGAGUUGCGAACGGGUGAGUAACGCGUAGGUAACCUGCUUUGUAGCGGGGGAUAACUAUUGGAAACGAUAGCUAAUACCGCAUAACAAUGGAUGACACAUGUCAUUUAUUUGAAAGGGGCAAUUGCUCCACUACAAGAUGGACCUGCGUUGUAUUAGCUAGUAGGUGAGGUAAUGGCUCACCUAGGCGACGAUACAUAGCCGACCUGAGAGGGUGAUCGGCCACACUGGGACUGAGACACGGCCCAGACUCCUACGGGAGGCAGCAGUAGGGAAUCUUCGGCAAUGGGGGCAACCCUGACCGAGCAACGCCGCGUGAGUGAAGAAGGUUUUCGGAUCGUAAAGCUCUGUUGUAAGUCAAGAACGGGUGUGAGAGUGGAAAGUUCACACUGUGACGGUAGCUUACCAGAAAGGGACGGCUAACUACGUG